GUCCUAGUAGCUUAAAAUUAAAGCACUG
rnacentral:tRNA from 4 species